rnacentral:lncRNA from 1 species
GAAGGUGCCAGACUCCCUUUCGGGAAGAAAUCUCUGUUUUUCCUUAUGGAACCCCAAGAGUGUAAACAGGCGAGUUCAUCUCAGAUCUUAAACUGCUUGCUUUUGUAUUGUGUUACCUGAUUUUUUUUGACUAAAACAGUUAUUACAACAGAGGUUACUCUUGGGUGUUUAAAUCAAGGAAGAGUUUGGUUUAGACACUUAGAGAAAUGUCUUUGUUAAAAAAAAAAGUGCACUGUAAAAACAUCACAUGGUCUAGCCUCAUAAUAAUUGUCAGGCCUCUGAGCCCAAGCUAAGCCAUCAUAUCCCCUGUGACCUGCACGUAUACAUCCAGAUAGCCUGAAGCACUUGAAGAUCCACAAAAGAAGUGAAAAUAGCCUUAACUGAUGGCACUCCACCAUUGUGAUUUGUUUCUGUCCCACCCUAACUGAUCAAUGUACUUUGUAAUCUCCCCCACCCUUAAGAAGGUUCUUUGUAAUCUCCCCCGCCCUUAAGAAGGUUCUUUGUAAUUCUCCCUACCCUUGAGAAUGUAGUUUGUGAGAUCCACCCCCUGCCUGCAAAACAUUGCUCCUAACUCCACUGCCUAUCCCAAAACCUAUAAGAACUAAUGAUAAUCCCACCACCCUUUGCUGACUCUCUUUUUGGAUUCAGCCCGCCUGCACCCAGGUGAAAUAAACAGCCUUGUUGCUCACACAAAGCCUGUUUGGUGUUCUCUUCACGCGGAUGUGACAGACAUCUGGUGCCGAAGACCCGGGUCAGAGGGACUCCUUCAGGAGACCAGUCCCCUGUCCUCACCCUCACUCCAUGAAGAGAUCCACCUAUGUAUGACCCUGGGUCCUCAGACCAACCAGCCCAAGGAACAUCUCACCAAUUUCAAAUUGGUAGAGACAAAGUAGACACAUUUUAUCCAUGGACCCAAAACUCUGGCGCCAGUCAUGGACUCAGGAAGACAGCCUUCCCUUGGUGUUUAAUCAUUGUGGGGACGCCUGCCUGAUUAUUCACCCACACUCCAUUGGCGUCUGAUCACCGCGGGGAUGCCUGCCUUGGUCAUUCACUGACAUUCCCUUGGUGGCAAGUUAGUUGCGGGGAUGCCUGCUUUGGCUGCUCACCCACAUUGCAGCCUAGGGCUGCUCCCCACCCUCCUUCUCCGUGUCUCUACCUUUCUCUUUAAACUUACCUCCUUCACUAUGGGCAACCUUCCGCCCUCCAUUCCCCCUUCUUCUCCCUUAGCCUGUGUUCUCAAGAACUUAAAACCUCUUCAACUCACACCUGACCUAAAACUUAAUGCCUUAUUUUCUUCUGCAAUACCACUUGGCCACAAUACAAACUCAACAGUAGUUCCAAGUGGCCAGAGAAUGGCACUUUUGAUAUGUCUAUCCUACAAGAUCUAGAUAAUUUUUGUUGAAAAAUGGGCAAAUGGUCUGUGGUGCCUGACGUCCAGGCAAUCUUUUAUACAUUGGUCCCUCCCUAGUCUCUG